rnacentral:lncRNA from 1 species
AGAAAAUGUAUGCACAAAUAUAUUCCUAUCAACGUGAGAAAGAAAUGUUCAUAACCACGAUAGCCCUUGUUUUCAAACUGGUCAUUUGAUCAUCAUUCAUAUUUAUGACUUCUUUCUUCUAUUCCCAUAGGCCUUCUUUGCUGUUGGCACGGAUUAAGAUGCAUGAAGUCACUAUAGCAAGAACGGAAGCCAUGGAGGACAAGCAAUUGAGAAGAAAGCAACUUUGUGAGGAAAGCAACACAGAUUUCAAAAUGAUGAUGAUACACAUUAUCAGGUUUUAGUAUGUUCCCAAAUUAACAAAUUCCCUAUAAUAAUUGAUAUUUGUAUUACAUUUACUUCAUAUGUGUUUGCUUUUGAA